AUUGAGUGGCGGACGGGUGAGUAACGCGUGGGUAACCUGCCUCAUACAGGGGGAUAACAGUUAGAAAUGACUGCUAAUACCGCAUAAGACCACAGGGUCGCAUGACCUGGUGGGAAAAACUCCGGUGGUAUGAGAUGGACCCGCGUCUGAUUAGGUAGUUGGUGGGGUAACGGCCUACCAAGCCAACGAUCAGUAGCCGACCUGAGAGGGUGACGGGCCACAUUGGGACUGAGACACGGCCCAAACUCC
rnacentral:rRNA from 1 species